rnacentral:rRNA from 1 species
AGGGUUUGAUCAUGGCUCAGAUUGAACGCUGGCGGAAUGCUUUACACAUGCAAGUCGAACGGCAGCACGGACUUCGGUCUGGUGGCGAGUGGCGAACGGGUGAGUAAUGUAUCGGAACGUGCCCAGUCGUGGGGGAUAACGUAGUGAAAAUUACGCUAAUACCGCAUACGAUCUAUGGAUGAAAGCGGGGGAUCGCAAGACCUCGCGCGAUUGGAGCGGCCGAUAUCAGAUUAGGUAGUUGGUGGGGUAAAGGCCCACCAAGCCAACGAUCUGUAGCUGGUCUGAGAGGACGACCAGCCACACUGGAACUGAGACACGGUCCAGACUCCUACGGGAGGCAGCAGUGGGGAAUUUUGGACAAUGGGCGCAAGCCUGAUCCAGCCAUUCCGCGUGCAGGAUGAAGGCCCUCGGGUUGUAAACUGCUUUUGUACAGAACGAAAAGGUUUCUACUAAUACUAGGAGCUCAUGACGGUACUGUAAGAAUAAGCACCGGCUAACUACGUGCCAGCCGCCGCGGUAAUACA